UUGUAGGUAUUUUAAGUAGUAGAGGUUGAAUCUAUAUUUUUUGCACAAUAUCACUAAAUGAAUCUCAAUAUUCGUAUACUUACAUGUUUAUACCAAUAAUAAUUAAUUGUAGUCUUGCCAAGUGUCCUUUGUAAUGUUGUCCGUCCAAGUAACAUUAAAAAGUAUGACAAGAUUUAAAUAUUAGAUCUGAAUCGCAAGUUCUACCGGGAGCACUCCCUAGUCCUAUUGGUGUGAAUCAACAUGUUACAAAUGUGGUCCAAUACUUAAUUACUAGAAAAAUGAGCUUUAUUAGUUUUAGGUCAAGUAAUUAUUUUUUAGUUUAUUUUUAAGGAAAACUUUCCAGGUAAUUUUAUACCAAAUACACACUUAUGGAUAACAAAA